GCCUGGCUAGCUCAAUCGGUAGAGCGUGAGACUUUUACGAACCAUUGAUCGAAGUGGUGUCUAUCUCAAGGCUGCGGGUUCGAGCCCCGCGUCGGGCU